rnacentral:rRNA from 1 species
GUGCCUAAUACAUGCAAGUAGAACGCUGAAGCUUGGUGCUUGCACCGAGCGGAUGAGUUGCGAACGGGUGAGUAACGCGUAGGUAACCUGCCUCUUAGCGGGGGAUAACUAUUGGAAACGAUAGCUAAUACCGCAUAAAAGUCGACAUUGCAUGAUGUUGACUUGAAAGGUGCAAUUGCAUCACUAAGAGAUGGACCUGCGUUGUAUUAGCUAGUUGGUGAGGUAACGGCUCACCAAGGCAACGAUACAUAGCCGACCUGAGAGGGUGAUCGGCCACACUGGGACUGAGACACGGCCCAGACUCCUACGGGAGGCAGCAGUAGGGAAUCUUCGGCAAUGGGGGCAACCCUGACCGAGCAACGCCGCGUGAGUGAAGAAGGUUUUCGGAUCGUAAAGCUCUGUUGUAAGAGAAGAACGAGUGUGAGAGUGGAAAGUUCACACUGUGACGGUAACUUACCAGAAAGGGACGGCUAACUACGUGCCAGCAGCCGCGGUAAUACGUAGGUCCCGAGCGUUAUCCGGAUUUAUUGGGCGUAAAGCGAGCGCAGGCGGUUAGAUAAGUCUGAAGUUAAAGGCUGUGGCUUAACCAUAGUACGCUUUGGAAACUGUUUAACUUGAGUGCAGAAGGGGAGAGUGGAAUUCCAUGUGUAGCGGUGAAAUGCGUAGAUAUAUGGAGGAACACCGGUGGCGAAAGCGGCUCUCUGGUCUGUAACUGACGCUGAGGCU